UGCGUAGGUGGUGUGGUAAGUCUGUUGUUAAAUAUCCUGGCCUAACCAGGAAAAUGCAAUGGAAACUGCCGUUCUAGAGGGCGAAAGAGAGAGGUGGAAUUCCAGGAGUUAGCGGUCAAAUGCGUAGAUCUCUGGAGGAACACCGAUGGCGAAGGCAGCCUCUUGGUUCGCUUCUGACACUGAUGCACGAAAGCGUGGGGAGCAAACAGGAUUAGAUACCCUGGUAGUCCACGCUGUAAACGAUGAUCACUAGAUGUUGGUUCGGUUUGCCGGAUCAGUGUCGUAGCUAACGCGUUAAGUGAUCCGCCUGGGAAGUACGGUCGCAAGACUAAA
rnacentral:rRNA from 1 species